UUUUUUUUUUUUUUUUUUUUUCUCGCUCAGACGAACGCUGGCGGCGUGCCUAAUACAUGCAAGUCGAGCGGACAGAUGGGAGCUUGCUCCCUGAUGUUAGCGGCGGACGGGUGAGUAACACGUGGGUAACCUGCCUGUAAGACUGGGAUAACUCCGGGAAACCGGGGCUAAUACCGGAUGGUUGUUUGAACCGCAUGGUUCAAACAUAAAAGGUGGCUUCGGCUACCACUUACAGAUGGACCCGCGGCGCAUUAGCUAGUUGGUGAGGUAAUGGCUCACCAAGGCAACGAUGCGUAGCCGACCUGAGAGGGUGAUCGGCCACACUGGGACUGAGACACGGCCCAGACUCCUACGGGAGGCAGCAGUAGGGAAUCUUCCGCAAUGGACGAAAGUCUGACGGAGCAACGCCGCGUGAGUGAUGAAGGUUUUCGGAUCGUAAAGCUCUGUUGUUAGGGAAGAACAAGUACCGUUCGAAUAGGGCGGUACCUUGACGGUACCUAACCAGAAAGCCACGGCUAACUACGUGCCAGCAGCCGCGGUAAUACGUAGGUGGCAAGCGUUGUCCGGAAUUAUUGGGCGUAAAGGGCUCGCAGGCGGUUUCUUAAGUCUGAUGUGAAAGCCCCCGGCUCAACCGGGGAGGGUCAUUGGAAACUGGGGAACUUGAGUGCAGAAGAGGAGAGUGGAAUUCCACGUGUAGCGGUGAAAUGCGUAGAGAUGUGGAGGAACACCAGUGGCGAAGGCGACUCUCUGGUCUGUAACUGACGCUGAGGAGCGAAAG
rnacentral:rRNA from 1 species